CCUACGGGAGGCAGCAGUUAGGAAUAUUGGGCAAUGGAGGAAACUCUGACCCAGCAACGCCGCGUGAAGGAAGAAGGUUUUCGGAUUGUAAACUUCUGAUCUGUGGGACGAAGCAAGUGACGGUACCACAGGAGAAAGUCAAGGCUAACUACGUGCCAGCAGCCGCGGUACUACGUAGGUGGCGAGCGUUGUACGGAAUAACUGGGCGUAAAGGGAGCGUAGGUGGUAUGUUAAGUUAAAUGUGAAAGCACCGGGCUCAACUCUGGAACUGCAUUUGAUACUGGUAGGCUGGAGUGCAUGAGAGGUUAGCGGAAUUUCUGGUGUAGCGGUGAAAUGCGUAGAUAUUAGGAGGAACACCAGUGGCGAAGGCGAUUUACUGGACUGCAACUGACACUGAGGCUCGAAAGCGUGGGUAGCAAACAGGAUUAGAUACCCCGGUAGUC
rnacentral:rRNA from 1 species